GAUGAACGCUAGCGGGAGGCCUAACACAUGCAAGUCGAGCGGAAAUUGUUCUUCGGUGCUGCGCGAGCGGUGGACGGGUGCGGAACACGUGCGCAACCUGCCUUUACCUGGGGGACAGCCAUUAGAAAGGAAGACUAAUACUACAUAAUAAAUUGAGUGGCAUCCUCUGAUUUUGAUAACUCAGGUCGAUAGUGAUGGGAACGCGUAAGAUUGGAUCGCUGGUAAGGUAACGGCUCACCAAGUCAAUGUUCUUUAGGGGGCCUGCGUGGGGGAUCCCCCAGACUGGGACUGCGACACGGACCAGACUGCUACGCGAGGCAGCAGUAAGGAAGGUUGGACGAGGGAUUCUCGCGUGAUCCAGCCAUCCCGCGUGAAGGACGACGGCCCUAGGGAUUGUAAGCUUCUUUUGUAUAAGAAUUGUCCUACUCUCGUGAGAGUAACUGAAGGUACUAUACGAAUAAGCACCGGCUAACUCCGUG
rnacentral:rRNA from 1 species